rnacentral:misc_RNA from 1 species
CAUUACCGAGCUUAGGACCUUAGAGUGAAAUCUCCCACCAUGUGUAAUCAUUACCUUUGAUGAUUUGUUGGGCCGCCCGGCCUCCGUCCUGCUGGGCCCUUCGGUUGGGCUGACCCGCCAAAGGACCCCAAAUCCUGAUUACGUUGUAUUCUGAAUACUAUAUAAUAUUUAAAACUUUCAACAACGGAUCUCUUGGUUCUGGCAUCGAUGAAAAACGCAACGAAAUGCGAUAAUUAAUGUGAAUUGCAAAAUUCAAUGAAUCAUCAAAUCUUUGAACGCACAUUGCGCCCCUUGGUAUUCGGAGGGGCAUGCCUGUUCCAGCGUCAUUACCACCCUCACCCUUUGCUUGGUCUUGGGCUCCGCUGCUUCCCCAUCGGGACUUAAAAUCAAUGGCGGUGCCGUCGGGCCCUGAUCGUAGUAAAUCUUCUUUCUACUUGGUGACUAUGGACACUGGCCAUCCACCCCCCACUCUCUAAGUUUGACCUCGGAUCAAGUAUGGAUACACGCUGAAAUUUAACUUAUCAAAUUAGAAAGGUAAGAGUCGUAACAAGGUCUCCGUAGGUGAACAUGCGGAGGGAUCAAUAGAGAGCUCAUGCCCUUACGGGAAGAUCUCCCACCGUAAGUUCUCAUUACCUUUGCCAAUUUGGCGGGCCGCCCGCCCUCGCUCUGGCUAUCGGCUUCGGGUGGUAAGCCCCCGCCAGAGAACCCAAAAUCAUGAUUAUUAGAGUCGUUUGAGUAAUAAAUAAUAGUUAAAACUUUCAACAACGAAUGUAUUGGUUGGGGCAUGGAUGAAGAACGAAGGGAAAGGAAUUAGGUAAGUUGAAUGGCAGAAUUAAUUGAAUCAUUGAUUCUUUGAACGCACAUUCCGCCCGCCGUUAUUCGUUGGGGCAGGCAUGUUGGAGCGUCAUUACAACCCUCAAGCAUUGUUUGGUUUGGGGCUCCGUGCUUCCCCAGCGGGCCUUAAAAUCAAAGGCGGUGCCGUCGGGCCGGAGAGUAGUAAAUAAUUUCCUUACAGGGAGUUUAGGACGCUCCCAUC